UACGUAGGUGGCAAGCGUUAUCCGGAUUUACUGGGUGUAAAGGGCGUGUAGGCGGGACUGCAAGUCAGAUGUGAAAACCACGGGCUCAACCUGUGGCCUGCAUUUGAAACUGUAGUUCUUGAGUACCGGAGGGGCAGGCGGAAUUCCUGGUGUAGCGGUGAAAUGCGUAGAUAUCAGGAGGAACACCGGCGGCGAAGGCGGCCUGCUGGACCGCGACUGACGUUGAGGCUCGAAAGCGUGGGGAGCAAACAGG
rnacentral:rRNA from 1 species